UACGUAGGGUGCAAGCGUUAAUCGGAAUUACUGGGCGUAAAGCGUGCGCAGGCGGUUCGUUGUGUCUGUGGUGAAAGCCCCGGGCUUAACCUGGGAAUGGCCAUGGAAACUGGCGAGCUGGAGUGUGGCAGAGGGGGGUGGAAUUCCGCGUGUAGCAGUGAAAUGCGUAGAGAUGCGGAGGAACACCGAUGGCGAAGGCAGCCCCCUGGGCUAACACUGACGCUGAGGCACGAAAGCGUGGGGAGCAAACAGG
rnacentral:rRNA from 1 species